rnacentral:lncRNA from 1 species
UCAAUGAUAUGUUACAAUACAAUAACUACAAUUGUAACUCCCACAAUAACUAGGUUAAUUAUGUAGUAAUUACAAUUGUCACUCUAACAAUAACUAGGCAAUUAUAGGCAUGUAAUUGUUAUGUAAUUUCUUGUAACUCCAAUCUUCUUAACCAACACCACUAAUUGUUUGUGGCACCAUAUAGUUAUGGGCUCAUUUUUGUAAUAACACUAAGACAAGAGUUAAGCCCAAAAUGAGUUAUACUUAAGUAUAUGGGCUUAAUUAACUCAAACUAAAAUAAAACAAUUCAAAAUACUUAAAAAAAUUCAACUAAUCCAGCCCAUAUACAAGGUUUAUUCAUCCAUUAUCAAUAAGACUCAAACAAGCCCAAAUUAUCCCAAAUCACUUAAAUCCAAUUAAAGUUACGAAUUUGAGUUGUUCAAAAAGCUCAUAUUUGAACUUUCCACAAUUGGCCAGCCCAUCAUCCACAUGUUUUUUGAGUAAAAACUUGGAGCAACUCUUUAAACUUCUUUGCCUUUGAUCUUGUUACUGGUCUGUUGAAAUUUUUUAGGUUUGGAACUAUAUUUGUGUUUACAUCAUUUGAAAUUUGCUCCAAGUCACCUUCUGAUGCUCUUUGAGUAU